CCUCACAGCACUUGAACAAACCUUAAUGGAUAUUAGGCACCAGAACCACUACAGCUCUGGUGUGUCUAGCAUGUCCUUGCAGGUUUGUAACAUCUAGUAGCAGUCACUCCGCAAGAUAUUAGUGCUUCCUAUCUCCGUGCUAGACUGUGCACCACAACCUGCAUGGAGACACUUAACGCUCUCCACAGAAGUCAAGAGGAUGAGAAUGUACA